rnacentral:rRNA from 1 species
UACAGAGGUCUCAAGCGUUGUUCGGAUUCAUUGGGCGUAAAGGGUGCGUAGGCGGCGCGGUAAGUCAGGGGUGAAAUCCUGGAGCUCAACUCCAGAACUGCCUUUGAUACUGGCGAGCUUGAGUCCGGGAGAGGUGAGUGGAACUGCGAGUGUAGAGGUGAAAUUCGUAGAUAUUCGCAAGAACACCAGUGGCGAAGGCGGCUCACUGGCCCGGUACUGACGCUGAGGUGCGAAAGCGUGGGGAGCAAACAGG